rnacentral:rRNA from 1 species
AACGGCCGUACCAUGCUGAAUAUACCGGUUCUCGUUAGAUCACCGAAGUCAAGCAUCAUUGGGCGCGGUCAGUACUUGGGUGGGUGACCACCAGGGAACACCGCGUGCCGUU